CCCAACCAAACACACGGAAGAGGGCCGUGCGGUGCUUCGCCAUCCCACCGCGGUCGGAGUGCUGCCCGCGCGCCUCCCAAUCCCCUUCCCUCCGCAGAUCCAUCCAUCCCCGCCGCUCCUCCGAAACCAAUCUUGCGACCCGCUCCGUCGACGUCGCCCGCGCACUCGGAGGAGAUCUGGAGAUGGGCUCCCCGUCCUACCAACUCGUGGUUGCUGCUCCCCGGCUGCCCUGCGUCCAGCCCGCCUUGCUGAUGCUGCUGCUACGCCUCGCUGCGAGGGCCACGGCAGCGAGCCGCAAACGCGCCGCACGCGCGGGCUCCGGGCAAGGGCGCCGAGUGCCGCGGCGGAGAGCGAGCCGCGCGCUCUACGGCCCCUCUCCAGCACCGACUCCAAGGCCACCUCGGUAGCAUGUACGGGAGAUGGCUAAUUUACAUCUACCCCUUCCGAACAAACUCAGGAGUCAGUAUCUAUGCUGUUACUGCAGUCGUUGAGGGUCACUUCUAGAUGGUAGAAAGCAGGAGCAGCCCAAUAAGGCAACUGAUCAGCUCCCAAAAGGUCAAGGUUUUACGUUUUUGAAUGUACUAAACUCAGUAGUCGAUUAUAUUUAUUUGUCCACUCUAAAGAUGCCAUCAGAAUAAUUGGAGUGGGAUCUUGGGAAUUGAAUCUAUACUAUUUUCUCAUACGCAUGUGAUUUUUUUUCAUGGACCAAAGAGGUUUCACUGUGUUGUUGGAAGUCUACGCUAUUAUGCUUUUGUGUCUUUUUUUGCAUGGGUCUUGUGUUGUAUUGACGAACGUUGAGAAUCAAGCUGCUGUGCUGUGCAUCUGGUUUGUGGUGAAAGCUUGACUGAUGCAUCUGGUUUGUGCUUCAAAAUAUUUUAUCCGUAGAAGUCUGAGUUCUUGUUUCUAAUGGCUUGUAGGUACCCUGCUCAAUUUCUGUUGGCUAGAAGAUUGCUUACCUAGGUAACCCUCAUUUCUAAGCAGUUAUUGAAUAAGGUCAGGACGUUACAUUGAGUCAACUGGACUUGUAGUAUUUCUCUCAUAUCAUUACCAAAAUGUUGAUCAAAAUUUAGAGUAAUAUUUCUCUAAGGUUAUUGUGAAAUAUUUCUUUAUGUCUGAAAACCUGACAUAUUUUGAUAGGCCACUGUCCUACUCCAAGUUGUUUGGGGAUAAUGGCUCUGUUUUGUAUUACAAUCCUUAUUCUGAACAUUGAAGCUUCAGUUAUUUUCAUAGCAGCCAUAUAUAUGUCCUUUUUUCAAGUAUGCAGAAUGAAGAGUUCAUGUGUUCAAUGUUUGGAGGGAGGCAAUUUGACAAACUUAUGUUGCAACUACACUUCUGUUUCAAGUGCUAAUUAAAGAGCUCAUGGCUUUUGCCUGCCAUAGGAGGUUUCAAGGUGAGCUACAUAAUAGAGACAUCUUUUAUUGUUUUCUGGUAUUUUAUGCAAACCAUGUAGCAGUUGGUCCUUAGCUAGCUGCCAAACAUUUAAGGAAAUAGAAAAUCUAGAAAGUUUUUACAUUUAUGUGGUUUUUGGUUCUGCGAAUUGAUUAGCAUAACUCACUGUCAGUGGAUACACAUUUUCAUUUUGUUUUAUUCUCACUAUAAAUUCUCUGUGGUUCUUAUAUACCACUGUAAGCUCUACCUAUGUAGCCAGUCGGAUCGGAGUGGCGAAAGGGCUUCGUGUCGGCAUGCGUCUCGCUUGCAUGCACGGUUCAAAAAGGCGGAAUUAGGCGGGCGCCUAGGCGCGACUAGGCUCUAGGCGAGGGGUUCCCGCCUGACCUAUGGGGGUAGGCGGCGCCAGCUCGUCGGCGCCGGCGAGGGAGGAGAAGGAGGCAGGGACGAGCGCCGGCGGAGGAGAAAGCAGGGGACGGGCGGCGGCCGAGGUAUGGACGGGCGGCGGCGGCGGCGGAGGAGGAGGUAGGGGCAGGCGCGGAGGAGGAGGAAGGCCGGCAGCAGAGGCGCGGAAGAGGCAACGGCGGCGGCGUCGGGAACGAGCGAAGGCAGGGGCGUCGGGAAGACCGGAAGGGGAACGAGAGGAGGAGAGGGGAGGGGAUAAGGUGGGCUGCUGGGCCGGAUGGGCCGGAGGAGAGGGGAGGGGAUAAGGUGGGCUGUUGGGCUGCUGGGUUGUUGGGCUGCUUUGAUUGGCUUAUUUUUUAACUCAAGGCUUAAUUGUCCUCUGUUUUUCUUUUUUUUAGAGGUAUAUGAUGUAUAUGACAAGGUAUACGUAUGUAUAUGGCACCGCCUAGCAAACCGCCUUGAAACGCCUAGGCUCGCCUAGGCUCUAGGCGGUGGGUCACCGCCUAGAAACCGCCUAGUGCCUUUUUGAACAUUGCUUGCAUGGCGGUGGCACGAGGGGUCUGGGGUUUCGGCUACCGCGGUGGUGUUGGUUCGGUUCUGCUCGUGGGAGGUCUAGCCCCAGGCGGCGUGGGGGCCGAGAUCCGCAGGCAAAAGAAUGUGCAGGUGCCCUCCUCGACAAGUGGGCCGGCGCGCUGUCGCUGCUCGAAGCCAGGCCUCAAGGUAUGCUUCAACGCAUAUUCGUGAUUUUUAACAGGUAGGUGAACACUGGAAGCUCCUGUUUUUAAUGAAGCCACUAAGGAUUUAAUUUGAAGAACAUCAGCAUGUUUGGAGGUAAAUGACCAGUCAAUCAGCCCUAUAGCUUCUUAAAAUUAUCAAAAUCACUUUAAAGAAGAUCAACUACUGCACUCCUGGUGGUAUGAGGUAUGAGUUUCAGAUGAUUUUGUUGUUGUUUAAGAGUGUGCUACAUUUGUUUCUUAUGUGAACUUCCUGAAGAAACCAUCAUUAAAAUUUUGGAUUUAGAAAAUAUAUGAAUUAAAAGUGUACAUAUCACCAGUUAUUUUCCCAAACAUAUGCAGAAUGGAGACCUUGCAGAUUCAAUAAAUGGAACUCGAGUUCAAUAAUGAAGUUGUGUUUGACACUGCAAAUUUUAAAAUUGUCCCCAUUGUUGUUCUUAGUGUUCUUGGUGAGACUGACAUAGGGAGGGAGGGAAGGAGGGAGGGGGGAAGGACUGUCUACUUUAGGAAUUGUGCAGUGUGGUUACUGGUUAAUUGCUGGUCCAUGUGUCCUUUUAUUCUGAUCUUGCUCCAGCAACCCACUGUAAUUGCUUGAAUCAAGAAAUUUGUGUAAGGUACAGUGCUAUCUUUGGAUCACACCAUUACAAAACCGAUUUGUCAUGUUUUCUAUGGAUCAGAUUCUUGUUAUGUCACUUGUUACCAAUGAGGAAUAGGGGUUCCUGUACACAAUGACAAAUAUGCUUACUGCAAGUUUCUAUAUCAAUUUUUGCUAUUUAUCUUCUGUUAAAAGGAAUUGAACAUUCAGAUGAUAUUUGAUCAUGACCAUUUUACGUGAGAUUGCUUCAGCUCCUUGUAUUAGCUUGUGCAUUGGCUGAGCUUACAUGGCCUAAACAUCGCAAGAUAAGAGAUGAUAUUUGAUCAUGACCAUUUUACGUGAGAUUGCUUUAGCUCCUUGUAUUAGCUUGUGCAUUGGCUGAGCUCACAUGGCCUAAACAUCGCAAGAUAAGACAAUUUUUCAGGCAUUGGUUCUGUAAAGUUGAACAAAAUAAUAUUAUUGUGCAUGGUUUAUUCGAGAACAUCCAAGUUAAAUUUUCCAGGAAAAAUUUUAUGGACCUUGACCUUGCUGUUGUCUCUAAAAUAAAUAAGAAGAAGCUUGUCGCACUACAGGUUUUGCCCAUUAUCUUUUGUGAGAGUUUGAGAAUUUUAGGUCCCUGCCUAUUUUUAUAUAAAUGUUAUUUAAUCCAGAUCUAUUUUUAGUUCACUCCAACGAGAAGUCGAACUAGGUCUAAUGGAUGCUACUAUUAUUAAGUUUCCACUGGUUGAAAAUUUUGGUGGCAUAAGUUAUUUUUUGCUUACUGAAUCUGUUUAUUAUAUUUUUUUAGAAAUAAGUUCAUGUUGCGUGUACAUCUUUACUAUAUAUAUAAUUAUUGUUUAUUAGACUCCACUUACUGUAGCAACACACAAGUUGAUAAGAUCUGUGUUGGAGCUCAAAAACUUCUAAAUUGAUUUGUACCUAAUGGUCAAAGGUGUUUGGAGAGGUUCGGUAUUUUCAUUGUGCAUUUCGCUUAAUAUGUGUGUAGGAAUAUAACGAGGACAUGAUAUUGGUGUCAUGGUGAUGGUGCUUGAUUUUUUAUAACACGUGCGUGCCGCAGGUACACUACUAGUUAGGAAAAAAACAUCAAAACACUUGUUGUAACUUGCAGCGGGUUCCAGACAUUGAAAGAUCAUAAACAAUCAAUGAGCUCGAGAAAUCCGCCGCCCGCGCUCGCGAAGUCCUUUCCCGUUCAUCGCCGUCGAGCACUCAACCGGAGAGGUGGGCGUCGCUGCCAAGAAGCCGCUGGGAGGGGAGGCUGGACGCUGCCGGGCCCUUCGCCGCGAGUGCCCAGGCGGGCGGCCACCGCCCCGCUGCCUUGCCGCCGCCACCAGAGUUGAAGGGGGCCGCAGGGCAAAAUGGGGAGGUUCGACGUUGGAGAUAAGGCUGGACACGGUGAUGCAAGGCCGAGUGCCCGCUGGAGAUGCAGCUCGUCGACCCGAUGGUUUCAGAGAACCAAAUGCACCAUCCUCCCGCCCAAGAAGUCGGUGUGCUUGUAAGGCUGACCACAGCGGAGGGAGCAAGAGCAAAUUUGCUCUCUCCUCGUUUCCCACGCUCUCUUUGUCUACAGUGUCAAGCAGUGCAUCUAUAGUGCCAAACAGUAUAUUUGCUCCUUCAUUUGCUCCAUCCACUGUGGACAGUCUAACACCCCAAAUGUUUUACCUGGUUGUAGGCCCCAGCUGUCAUCUCCUCUUCCUUCUCCUGUGCUUAUCCUCGCUCCCGAAGCCUCCCGAACCAGCCAGCUCACUUCCGUGCUCAAGUCGCCCACGCCUCUCCCUCUCCCUCUCGUGCGUGUGCCGAGCCAUGGCUGCCACGGCCACGAGCCGAGCUCGCCCCUGCCGGAGCCCCAUGUCCCCCAAACCCUAGCCCCAUUCCUCCAUUGCUGCCGCCACCCCCAAGCUCCGCUUGCCGCCGGCCACCGUCGAUUGCCUCCUCCGGUGCCCCGCUGGAGCUCUCCCAUCGGCGCCGCCUGUCCUUGUUGCGCCGCCCCCUCCGCCGCCAUUCCUGCAGUCUGUGUCGCCGUGACUGAAUCGUCGGAGAACGAAUCCGUGGAGCCCACCGAGUUCGUUGAGCCUGAAACCGGAGUCCAGUUCGUGGUUGAACCCGAAGUUAACCAUGGCAAGCAGCUAAGCAUAAUUCUUUGCACCUAUUUAAUUUGAUUCGUUUAGUUAUCUCACCGGAUAAUGUUGGGUAUAUAUAUAUUAUGUACGUAUUGCAUUAUUGUACCCACUUUGAUGCAUUGUCCUCCCUUGAUUUGUUCAUCUAUGUCCUUGUCACAUGUUAGUCAGUUAAUUACUUAACUUGACUAGAUGCUUAGCUCUGCUUAGAAUACUCAUCUAGCCUACUAGAAAGAACAGCUGGAGUAUCACAUUUACCGAUUACCCUUGAUCGCACUGGUUCGGUUUGGUGGUAAGGGUUUGGUAGUAUCGAGAUCUGAGCGGAAUGGUAGGGACUAGAGAAAGAAGUCCCAUGGGCAUAGUCCGCUUGGAUCGUUUAAGGACCGUCCGUGGAUGCCAUUGGCCUUGAGCAACUUUUCGUGCUACCACAUAUCCAAUAUAAUGGUACGGAUGAGCCAAUUACCUUCUUUGACUUGAUCAUUGAUGUGCAGUCCUAGAUACGUGGCCAAGGGCUAUGCAGGGGAGGCUUAGGGGUGUCCCCGGUGGACCUAUGUGUAGAAAAGUUUAGAGAUGUCCCCGGUGGACCUAAGUUACUCCACGCGUAAGCUAGGUGCGAAGUUCAAUGAUCGAGCCUUGUUGGGAACGGUUGACGCGAGUAUCCCCUUAUCCAACUUUAGCGGGUUGGGUGAGUCACAUGGUUCUUGCGUCGUGUGGGUAAAGUAGUACACCCUUGCAAGGUUAUAAUCAAUUCGAAUUGCCGCGCUCUCGGAUAUGAGCAAGCUCUUGGUUUGUCGAAUUCUUCGUAGAGAGUUUCGGUAUUGUUGGUUUUGGUUCAUGUCACAUCUAUGAUACAUUAUAUUUAUUAUAUUACUCUCUUAAUCAACUAAAACUUUUGGGGAUUCGGGCAACACUAAUUAAUUUUGCUGGGUGAUAGUCUAGAGAGAGUUCAUGCUUAUACAAUAAUUACUUAAGCUUAAAGCUUUUAUUUGAGCCUUUGCAUGAUCCUUGUUUAUUUAAUCGCGUUAGUCUUGCGAGUACCUUUUGUACUCAGGUUGUUUUCUAAACCUAGUUGCAGGUGAGCCGAAAGUUGUGUUCGGUUGAUGUGGCCGCAACGGUGCCCUUGAGCACGACGCCAUUGUUUGUUACGCUUUUAUCAAUUUAUCCGCUGUGUAGUUUAUCUCCGUGAGAGCAUGAAUUCGUGAGCUGUCAGCAGGGUCUUCGAACCUUAAGAGGCACACGGGUUGUCUCAGACUGUCGGAUGAGCUCCGAGCGGAUCAGAGAAGAAGCCUCCUGUCCCACCCGCCGUCGUCGCGGCCGCAGGGCAAGAUGGGCUCUGACGGACCCCGGCGGACGCGGCCUCCACGUGCUGGGCAGCCUGCAGAUGCUCCGGACGCCCUCCUCCACGCGGUCCCCUCCAACCGCUGGGCGGCCGCUCGCCUCCACCCGCGUGAAGGCAAGCCCGACGUCUGGCCGCCGGCCGUUGCGCGCCUGGCGGCCCCCUUUGUCUCCGGUGGCGGCGGCAAGGCAGCGGAGCGGCGGCCGCCCGCCUGGGCACUCGCGGCAAGGGGCUCGACGGCGUCCCGCCUCCCCUCCCAGCGACCUCCCGGCGGCGGUGGUUCCCCGCCUCUCAGUUCGAGUACUCGACCGCCGACCGCGACGUUCGGGAAAGGACUUCGCGAUCUGCGGCACGAACUGGCGCCCAGGGCUGGCCUGAAAACUGGCACCCAAUCCGAGUCCAGCGGCUGCAAGGGGCAGAGCCGCAGAGGGAUGGCGGCGGCUGAGUGGGUGGGUGGGAUGUGGGCGGGUCGGAAUGGAGGGAUGGGGUAGAUUGAUCGGACGGUUGAGAUGCAAAGUUGGCAGAACCGUGGAGAGGCAGAAACAUGGGAGAGCGAGGACACUACAGACUUUUUAGCAGUAGAUAGAGAUUGAAGAAGUUCCUCCCAAUACUUUUAUCCCAAUACAACAACAUAUUAGAAGUGCAUAAACUCUCAUUUUAUUUGAGAGAAGAUGAGGUAAAAUAUUGGGACAUUCAAAUAAUUAUUGGGGAAAGAGAGAUGUAUUGGGGAACAACUGGAGCACAUUCUUUUCCUAAAAGCAGGAGAUUAUUGGGGAAUGGGGGACUGCUAGAGAUGCUCAGAUGACAAAGUGAUGGGUUCGGAUGCGGUAGGGUGUUUGGGUAUCUAAAACUAAAACCCGAAGUUGAAACCUGAAUCCGCCCCGAAUAUUGAUUCGGGUGAAAAUUCCUCGAAACAGAAACCCGUGGAUCCCCGGAAUCUGAAUCCAAAACCCCAAGUACCCCCUUCUCGUGAUCCCAUCCCACCCGACCACCUCUUCCAGUGGUGAUCGGGCCCUUGCCCCCGUCGUCACGGACCAUCGAGGCAGAGGCUGCCUUGGCACCCAAGAAACGCAUGCCAGCAGGCCACGAUGAGGAGGAGAAGGAUGGGGAGGAGCGGCCGGAGCCCAAGUGUUGGCG